GCUACGACUGCUGUCCAGUCUACGUAGAAACCGUUUCAAUUCGUAUUAACGAAAAGAGUGGCUGAGGAAGAUCAGUUAAGAUAUGGACAGGACUAAAGGUGACAGCGGAGGUAGCCGGUGUGAUGCAUCAGGGCGCUCGAAGCUACGAGUGAGACUCAACUCGGUGUCGCAAUCGGAUAGAUCGCUCCAACCGAAGCCAGAUAUGGCAGGCGAUGAUGGAGUGGUGGCUCCGAACUCACAGCCAACCGACUCGGUUCCUGUCAAAAUCGAUUUCCGUGUAGAGUGUCGUCGUAUUGGGAGUUAAUGGAAUCAGGCCACGCGGAACCGCGCGAGCCCUGUCCAGCUGCUCAACACUCGUCUAUUUUUACUUAUUAAAUGUAGAUUAAUACAAUGUUUUUGUUAUACAUUUGUUAUAUUAUAUACUUAUGAUAAUGCAUACUUUAAAUUUAUAAGUAAACUAAUGUUACAGACCUGUUUCAUUUGUAUACAUAUUAUAUUUGAAAAGUAAUUAGAAAAAAAAUUGUCUUGCAUGUCACCUUCACUAAAGGAAUGGAACUCCAUAGACGGGUCACCAGGCAAGCUAAGAAAAUAAUCUUUUUAGGAAUUCUAAUAAUGCUUUUAUUGAAAAUUUCGUAUAAACCUAUCUCUGUGUGUGUUUGUAUGUAUUUAGAUGUAAUAUGUUUAAAAUCCUUUGUAUUAAUUAUACCAUACUUGUUUCUAGAUGCAAGUACUGUACGUGUGGUCCCAAGUACAGCUUGCAUUGAAUAAAAUUAAACUU